UACGGGGGGGGCAAGCGUUGUUCGGAAUUACUGGGCGUAAAGGGCUCGUAGGCGGCCAACUAAGUCAGACGUGAAAUCCCUCGGCUUAACCGGGGAACUGCCUCUGAUACUGGAUGGCUUGAGAUUGGGAGAGGGAUGCGGAAUUCCAGGUGUAGCGGUGAAAUGCGUAGAUAUCAGGAGGAACACCAACGGCGAAGGCGGCUCGCUGGGACGGUACUGACACUAAGGCGCGAAAGCGUGGGGAGCGAACAGG
rnacentral:rRNA from 1 species